AACGAACGCUGGCGGCAGGCCUAACACAUGCAAGUCGAGCGAAGCCUUCGGGCUUAGCGGCGGACGGGUGAGUAACGCGUGGGAACGUGCCCUUUGGUACGGAAUAGCCCCGGGAAACUGGGAGUAAUACCGUAUGUGGUCGAGAGGCGAAAGAUUUAUCGCCAAAGGAUCGGCCCGCGUUGGAUUAGGUAGUUGGUGGGGUAAUGGCCUACCAAGCCGACGAUCCAUAGCUGGUUUGAGAGGAUGAUCAGCCACACUGGGACUGAGACACGGCCCAGACUCCUACGGGAGGCAGCAGUGGGGAAUCUUAGACAAUGGGGGAAACCCUGAUCUAGCUAUGCCGCGUGAUCGAUGAAGGCCUUAGGGUUGUAAAGAUCUUUCAGUGGGGAAGAUAAUGACUGUACCCACAGAAGAAGCCCCGGCUAACUCCGUGCCAGCCGCCGCGGUAAAAC
rnacentral:rRNA from 1 species